CUUUUGAGUUUUUAAAAUUAAUCUAUUUACUUUGAGAUAACUGUAGAUUCACAGGAAGUUGUAAGAAACAACCCAGAGAAAUUACAUCAACCUUUUACCUGGUUCCCCGAAUGGAUCCUUUCUCUGCCCGGUCUCCAUGAUUUCUUCUGGUACCAGCAUAUCCAGUAAUCGUCAACGCUGAAGCGAGAGGCGAAUGACAUCAGCAAGAUGAUGGAAUAGGAGGUCCCCCACUCGUGUCCUCACUCAGCAACCAUGAUUUGGCAGCCAUCCAUGGAGAAAAGUGCCUUUGUGGGAGCUUCUGGAUCCAGGUCGCAGCCCGGAGGCGAGCAGAACACCAGAGUUAGUUGUGUCAUCUUUGGAUCCAGAGAAGUGGCUGGGGAUCCUGGGCCCUGAUGCUCAUUUGAGUCUGUGUGGCAGAGCAAGAGAUACCUGGGGGCUCCCUGGCUUUGGCUGGUCCAGAAUAUCCUGUAUCCACCAACACUGAUGUCACUGCUGGCAGUGCAGUUAUCCACAGGCCAUUCCUGGGCACACAGUAGGGACGGCCCGCAGUCUGCUUCUCCAUCCGCCUGUUCAUGAGCGUUUGGGUCUUUUACACUUUGGGCUAUUUAUACAUAAAGCCGUAAUUUAUGUUAGAAGUAAAUUUAUUUGUUUGCAUUUAUUUAAUAUGUGAAUUUCAUAUAUUAAGUAGUUAAAAUAAAAUUUAAUAUGUAACUUUAUGUUAUAAAUGAAUAAACCUGCUGAGUAUUUGUGUACAAGUCUUUGAAUGAGUAUGCACUUUAUUUUUUCUUGGGGAAACAGAGCAGCUGGGUCUUAAGAAGCUAUAUAUUUACCCCUUUUAGAAACUGCUCAACUGUUUUCCUAACUAGUUUGUCGAUUCCGUG